GACGAACGCUGGCGGCGUGCCUAAUACAUGCAAGUAGAACGCUGAAGCUUGGUGCUUGCACCGAGCGGAUGAGUUGCGAACGGGUGAGUAACGCGUAGGUAACCUGCCUGGUAGCGGGGGAUAACUAUUGGAAACGAUAGCUAAUACCGCAUGAUAUUGAUUAUUGCAUGAUAGUCAAUUAAAAGGUGCAAUUGCAUCACUACCAGAUGGACCUGCGUUGUAUUAGCUAGUUGGUGAGGUAACGGCUCACCAAGGCAACGAUACAUAGCCGACCUGAGAGGGUGAUCGGCCACACUGGGACUGAGACACGGCCCAGACUCCUACGGGAGGCAGCAGUAGGGAAUCUUCGGCAAUGGACGGAAGUCUGACCGAGCAACGCCGCGUGAGUGAAGAAGGUUUUCGGAUCGUAAAGCUCUGUUGUAAGAGAAGAACGAGUGUGAGAGUGGAAAGUUCACACUGUGACGGUAUCUUACCAGAAAGGGACGGCUAACUACGUGCCAGCAGCCGCGGUAAUACGUAGGUCCCGAGCGUUGUCCGGAUUUAUUGGGCGUAAAGCGAGCGCAGGCGGUUAGAUAAGUCUGAAGUUAAAGGCUGUGGCUUAACCAUAGUACGCUUUGGAAACUGUUUAACUUGAGUGCAAGAGGGGAGAGUGGAAUUCCAUGUGUAGCGGUGAAAUGCGUAGAUAUAUGGAGGAACACCGGUGGCGAAAGCGGCUCUCUGGCUUGUAACUGACGCUGAGGCUCGAAAGCGUGGGGAGCAAACAGG
rnacentral:rRNA from 1 species